CAGAGGAGGAUCUCAUCCCCGCCCGAGCUUCUUCUGCCACCUCGACACCACACGACCCCGCUGCCAUCAGAGACAUUGAUGAGCCGCCGCCGUCUCCCAAGUCGCCUGCCGACCUCCGCCUCCUCUCCUUAUUCUCCCAUCUCUCUUCUCUCGUAUCUGACCUUUCUCUCCCGUGCAGCUUCCACCUCCCUGCAGAUCCACACUUUGUUGGGCGGAGGGAGCGGGGCAGAGCCUCCAGCAUCGCUGGGAGCAAUGGCCCAUGCCCGGCGGCACUGAGGUGGCACAUCACAAUAUGAAGCACUGCUCCCGAUCCAUAGGUUCGUGGGCGGCACAUCCAUGGUGGAUUUGGCUUCGGUCAGGAGACUUGGGUCAAAGGCAAGCCCACGGAAGUCAGCUCCAAUCCAGUCUUCUAAGCAGGGGUGUGGGAACUGAGGCCUGCUCAAGGUGCAAUCAGUUUUUUUUCUCUGACCAUGGUGAGUUCGUGUCUUUGAACACUUUGGUUCAAUGUGACAAUGCAUAAAUUCGAAAGAUUGCUUGAUUUUUUUCUUCCCUUUUUUAGAGUAAUUGAUUGUAUGAACCAGUCGCAGCGUCAAAUUGUAUUUGUAUGAACUAUGCAUCAAUGUAUUUUUAGGAUCACAGCCCAAGGCACAAAAACCAGUUGUUGUAAAUGGUAUAAAUACAGAACCUGAUAAUAGUCUUUCAUUUAGAUGC